rnacentral:rRNA from 1 species
UACGAGGGGGGCGAGCGUUGUUCGGAAUUAUUGGGCGUAAAGGGCGCGUAGGCGGUUUGUACAGUCAGACGUGAAAUUCCUGGGCUCAACCUGGGGGCUGCGUUUGAUACGUGCGGACUUGAGUUCGGAAGAGGGUCGUGGAAUUCCCAGUGUAGAGGUGAAAUUCGUAGAUAUUGGGAAGAACACCGGUGGCGAAGGCGGCGACCUGGUCCGAUACUGACGCUGAGGCGCGAAAGCGUGGGGAGCAAACAGG